ensembl:lncRNA
UCUAUUUUGGGGUGACUUCAUUUAGUUUCAUCGUGUACGGUGAAGGUGUCUGUCGGGUCACAAGUGAUGAUUAAAUGGAAUUAUUUUGGUUUCUGUCUUUACAUUAUUAUCAAGAAUAUUGUUGCAUUUUGUGCAUUUAACGUCCGGUUGUGCUGCUUGUUAAGAAAGAUGAUUUUAUUCAAAGUGCAGCAUGUUAUAACGUGCCCUUUGGAGGUAUUACUGUAUGUUAUAACGAUAUACAUACUGGUCCUAAAAUGUUGUUGUAUCUUAUUAUGUUAAAUGAUAGAAGCUUAAUGAAUAAGGUUAAGCGAGAGAAUAACAAAUAUAGGUGAAACACAAGGGAUGAGAAAGAAGAAGCCAGUUUAGAUCCUGUGGCAGCCGACACUACUUUCACAACACCACCAAGAAAUCAACAACCACAGAAACUAAACAAUCAGAAUCACCAGUGGAACCCGGGAGAAGAGGCAGAAAGAGCUUGAGAGAGUGAGAUGAAGAUGAAAAAAGCUAAACGCUAAACGUCUGGAGGGAUGUCAAGAGAGAAGAGAGAGGUAAUGAAUGAGUCUGAAAAAUAGAAAAAACAAAACAAAGAAGAAAUGGGCCAAAAUCUAAGAAAUAUGGAGGCAUUUCAUGUUUAUACCUUGAAAUACACAUGAAUUUAUCUUUGUUUAGUUGUGAUCGUUACUAAAAAGAUUACCAGCUUUCUUCCGUCACCAUGGUGAGGCAGCAUGAAGCUUCAUCUCAGGUAUUCAGUUGGCUUCGCCACGUAUUCACAGCUACAAUUGGACUUCAUCCACAUUGUCACUGCUGUCCGCACGCACACGCAGCUGAGCCUGUGUGUGUGUGUGUGUGUGUGUGUGUGUGUGUGUGUGUGUGUGUGUGUGUGUGUGUGUGUGUGUGUGUGUGUGUGUGUGUGUGUGUGUGGGAGAGAGAAGUAAACAUGCCCGAAAUACAAAGACUGUGAUGUUUCAUUCAUUAGGUUGUCAGCAUGAAUAAUAGAUGCAUCUAAUUGAUAUGCAGCGCAUCACUCACAUGCACAUUCUCUCAUGUGGGAAAGCACUCUGAACUAAUAUUUGCGAGGCCUUGUUGUCAUUUUACAUUCAAAUGUGUGCAGCAGGUAAUGGCCGAUAUGGGAACCUGUCGUAUUUCAGUGGUUCCCAUCUUGGGGACUCUGGAUAGACGUGAUGUGGUCCAAAGGCUUGAGACGAAGGAAACAAGUGCAGAAUCAUCCUCAUCUUGCACAUCUAACGUCUAUCUGGGCUUUUUGUCGGAUGUUAGAAAGUUGUGUUCUGGACGUACUAACGUCAACAAAUAUCACAGUUGUAAGUUUUAAUGCUUUUUUGCGUCUUCAUAGAGUGUUUUACUUCUUAUGCUUCAAACAUCACAGUUCAUUCAUAAAGGUUAUCGUCCCGAUCAAAACAAGAGCGGUUUGAAAUCAAAUAUAUAUUUUUGUAGCCACGACGCAAAGGGAGAAUAAACCACAGGGGGAAACAGAGCAGUAAUCUGAGAGUGACGGAUGGGAGACAGAUGGAGAGACGGGGAAGCAGGAGGAAGUAGAGUCGGUGUGGAAACAAAUGCAGAAACUGGGUUUUUGUCUUUUUCAAGGAAAAGCAGCGUGUUGAAGUCUGAGAGCAAAGUCCAGCCUGAACAAGAGCUGCUUCCCAACGGCCCUCAAUCGCUGUGCGUUUCAACGCCCCCUCACUUCGAUACCCGUCUCCUGGGAAACAGGUCUGAAGGAGCGACCCACACACACACACACACACAGAGCUUUGACAGGAAAAGAUCUGGUGGGGGGAUUCAACAUUAAUGAGUUCAAACUCUCUCAUAUACACAAGCACAAGAAUACACACACACACACACACACACACACACGCGCACAUCAGCUCUGUGUUUAAGCUGCAGUGAAACCUGAACCAAUAGAAACCCUUUAUUCUGGUGACGUCGGCCAACCAGAACCCAGCAAACUGACACACCCACAUGUGUGUGUGUGUGUGUGUGUGUGUGUGUGUGUGUAUGUUUGGAUACCUCUCUGCUUUAGUGUACUGUAACUGUGUGUGUGUGUGUGUGUGUGUGUCUCAGAGGAAGCUCCCAGCAGGUCCUGAUGUUAUGCUGAUGUUUGUCCUUUGAGGGAAAGUCCCUGACUGCUGCUCUCACCGUGGAACAGGAACACGCUCCGUUCAUGUCAGCAAAGAUCGGUUCACACGUGGACACACAGAAUUCAAAAAGACACGUAAACACUCAGGCAAAGACACACACACACACACACACAUACACACCCACACACCCUUGCCAGCUCUUUGAGAGCAGACUCUUGAACGGUCAGCGGUGGAAAAUAUGUUUUCCCGCGGUCAGCUGUGCAAAGGAAGCUGAACUUUCCUCCAUUUUAUCACAACCAGCAGCUUCAUUACUGCCAAAAUGGAGACGUGGUGGAGUCCACUGUUGAUUAAAGGGGCAGUCCACAGAACACGCACAGAAGCAGAGAGAAACGUGAGUAUAAGGAACGUUGAUGAAGGCGAUGGAGCGGCUUCUUCUCGUGGCAGUGAAAGGAGGAGAAAGGUAGAUGAAAUAAAACCAAAUGGCCCAAAUAUUAUUUGACACUCGCUUUGGAGCAAAGUUUGAUGGCAUAACUCUUUACAGUGUGUGUAUAGCUGGAGCAGGCAGGUGAUUAGCUUAGCUUAGCAUAACAACUGGUAACAUGGGGAAACAGCUGGCAAGGCUUUUCAAAAGGUCACAAAAUCUUUCACUUUGGAGGUUCAGUCUUCAUGCAAAGAUAACCAGUUGCUGGCUUUAGCAUUUGUAUGUAAUUUAUUACUAUAGAGUAACAAUCUUAUAUUGGACAAGAAUCUUUACCAAAAUGUCAAACUUUUCCUUGAAUUUAUCUUUGUAAAGAUAGACGUGUUCCUGCUCGUUUCUGGCAAACAAGUGAACAUAAUCCAUCAAAGGGGAUAACACGUUGAAAUAUUUUACAAGGUAAAAAAAAAAAAUAUAUAUAUAUAUAUAUAUAUUUAUGAGAAAGGACUUCAGGGAGGAAGUUAUG